UACGUAGGGUGCGAGCGUUAUCCGGAAUUAUUGGGCGUAAAGAGCUCGUAGGCGGUUUGUCGCGUCUGUCGUGAAAGUCCGGGGCUUAACCCCGGAUCUGCGGUGGGUACGGGCAGACUAGAGUGCAGUAGGGGAGACUGGAAUUCCUGGUGUAGCGGUGGAAUGCGCAGAUAUCAGGAGGAACACCGAUGGCGAAGGCAGGUCUCUGGGCUGUAACUGACGCUGAGGAGCGAAAGCAUGGGGAGCGAAC
rnacentral:rRNA from 2 species